CCUACGGGUGGCAGCAGUAGGGAAUAUUGCACAAUGGGGGAAACCCUGAAGCAGCAACGCCGCGUGGAGGAUGAAGGUUUUCGGAUUGUAAACUCCUUUUAUUAGAGAAGAUAAUGACGGUAUCUAACGAAUAAGCACCGGCUAACUACGUGCCAGCAGCCGCGGUAAUACGGAGGGUGCGAGCGUUACGCGGAAUCACUGGGCGUAAAGAGCGCGUAGGCGGGAUGGCAAAUCAGAUGUGAAAUCCUAUGGCUUAACCAUAGCACUGCAUUUGAAACUGUUAUUCUAGAGUAUGGGAGAGGUAAGUGGAAUGCGUGGUGUAGGGGUAAAAUCCGUAGAGAUCAAGAGGAAUACUCAUUGCGAAGGCGACCUGCUAGAACAGAUCUGACGCUGAUGCGCGAAAGCGUGGGGAGCAAACAGGAUUAGAUACCCUAGUAGUC
rnacentral:rRNA from 1 species